AAUAGAUACCCCGGUAGUCCACGCCGUAAACGAUGGAUGCUAGCUAUUGGGGGGAAUCGACCCCCUCCGAAGCGAAGCUAACGCGUUAAGCAUCCCGCCUGAGUAGUACGAGCGCAAGCUUAAAACUCAAAGGAAUUGACGGGGACCCGCACAAGCGGUGGAGCGUGUGGUUUAAUUCGAUGGUAAACAAAGAACCUUACCAAGGUUUGACAUCCCGGUAGCCGUUCUCCGAAAGGAGAAUUUCAUUUAGUUGGACCGGUGACAGGUGAUGCAUGGCCGUCGUCAGCUCGUGUCGUGAGAUGUUGGGUUAAGUCCCGCAACGAGCGCAACCCUUAUGAUUUAGUUGGAUUUUUCUAAACAGACUGCCCUGGUAACAGGGAGGAAGGAGGGGAUGAUGUCAGGUCAGUAUUUCCCUUACGGCCUUGGGCGACACACGCGCUACAAUGGCCGGUACAAUGGGCAGCUAAGCCGCGAGGUGGAGCAAAUCCCAUCAAAGCCGGUCCCAGUUCGGAUUGCAGGCUGAAACCCGCCUGCAUGAAGCCGGAAUCGCUAGUAACCG
rnacentral:rRNA from 1 species